GGGGUGAUAGCAAUGGUAGCUAGCAAGACUCAUAAUCUUGAGGUUGGAGGUUCGAGUCCUCCCCCCGUAA
rnacentral:tRNA from 1 species